GAACUGCGAUAACUAGUGUGAAUUGCAGAGCUAAGUGAAUCAUCGAGGUUUUGAACGCAUACUGCACCCUUGGGUCAACCCUUGGGUACGCCUAUUUGAGUGUCACCACACUACAAAACUCACACCAUUUAUGGUGUGGAAUUGGGGGUAUACUACCAAUAGCAUUCCCUUUAAAUGUAGCAGCGACGGCCCCUGUUGCAUCAUGUAACAGAACAAGCCCGUACACGCUCAAAAGUCUGAGUUAUAUUCUAACACUACUUUGAGUCGUAUGGAAACUAUUCAACCUCAUCGAUCACAGGGUGAGCUAGCUGAUGGUGUUAUUUGAUAUGCCGGCCCCACGAGGACCGGCAUAUCACCAAAAAUCUGACCUCAAAUUAGACGGGACUACCCCCCGAACUUA
rnacentral:misc_RNA from 1 species